ACGCCACACCUUUUCUCUCUCGCUCUUUCUCUUAUCCAAUUCUCAGCCCUCUUUAUUUAUUCUCAAAUUCUCAGUCUCACAAUCUACUCACAACACACACCAGCCUUUUUAAAUUCUGAUUUCUUAAUCUCUUUUUUCAUUCUAAUUUCUUCAUUUCUCUUUUUAUUUUUAUUAGGGUUUGGACCUGUGUUUCGUUUGCCAAAAUCAUGCCUCGUUAUCUCUCUUUCUCUCCUCUGCUAUUUGUGGUUUUUCUUACCAAUCUUAGGGGCACCGCCAUGGACGAAGCCGUGAAGGCGUAGAGGAAGGCGGUGCUAUCGUCGCCGAGGUCGGUGACAUAGAUGAUAAACGAAUCGCACAAGUUCUACUAAUACAGUUAUUGUUCGUGGACUAUCAUCUUCUGCAUCAUGGCAAGAUUUGAAGGAUCAUAUGCGAAAAGCUGGCGAUGUUUGUUUUGUUGAGGUUUCCCGUGAUAGUGAAGGUCAAACCAUCCCCAAAAUGUAGUUUGUUCAAUGGAAUCAACAAAGAGCUUAAUCUUGGAUGAAAGUGAAGAAAUUUCAUCAGAUCUUCUAAGGCCUCUAUUACGUAGUGUAAGAAAGGAAUGUCAGACUAUUUCUCCUUGUUCUUGGACACUGGGGGAGAAAGUAAUUAGCAAUUGUGCUGUUAAGCUGAAGCCUUAUCUAAUAAAAGAGGUGGAGUCCUCUGGCAUAGCUCUCAAUGAGUAUGCACACAUAAUAACUGAUAUUUUCCAGAACGGUUCUGAAUCUCCCCAAUGUGAUCAUUCAGAUGGUUCUGAGAAGGCAGUGGUACAUUUUACUUGUCCUGUGUGAUACUCAUCAGAUAAACUGGUAUAGAUAACAUGUGAUAUUCUUGAUCUUAAUUUUGCUUCAUGUUGGAAACCAUGCAAAUUUAAUUGACCUGCAAAAUCUCUAGAACCUUGACUGUUGCUAUUGCUUCAUUAGUACAUUUUUUUCUUAAUUUUGUUUCAAAUAACCAAUUUGAAAUAUGUUUGUGGUUAUAUGUGUUUUAAAUCA